UACGUAGGUGGCGAGCGUUGUCCGGAUUUACUGGGCGUAAAGAGCGCGCAGGCGGUCGUGCAAGUCGCGUGUGAAAGCCCCCGGCUCAACUGGGGAGGGUCACGCGAUACUGCUCGACUUGAAGGCAGGAGAGGGAGGUGGAAUUCCCGGUGUAGUGGUGAAAUGCGUAGAUAUCGGGAGGAACACCAGUGGCGAAGGCGACUUCCUGGCCUGUUCUUGACGCUGAGGCGCGAAAGCUAGGGGAGCAAACGGG
rnacentral:rRNA from 1 species